rnacentral:rRNA from 1 species
UUGGAGGGCAAGUCUGGUGCCAGCAGCCGCGGUAAUUCCAGCUCCAAUAGCGUAUAUUAAAGUUGUUGCAGUUAAAAAGCUCGUAGUUGAAUUUCGGGAUUGACGUGAUGGUCAUGCCUUAAGGGGUAUGAACUGUUACAGUUGGUUUCUCACCUUCUGGAGAAACUUGAUGUCCUUUAUUGGGUGUCUUGCGGAUCCAGGACCUUUACCUUGAAAAAAUUAGAGUGUUUAAAGCAGGCAUUUUUGCUCGAAUACAUUAGCAUGGAAUAAUAGAAUAGGACGGCAUGGUUCUAUUUUGUUGGUUUCUAGGAUCACCGUAAUGAUUAAUAGGGAUAGUUGGGGGCAUUAGUAUUCAAUUGUCAGAGGUGAAAUUCUUGGAUUUAUUGAAGACUAACUACUGCGAAAGCAUUUGCCAAGGAUGUUUUCAUUAAUCAAGAACGAAAGUUAGGGGAUCGAAGACGAUCAGAUACCGUCGUAGUCUUAACCAUAAACUAUGCCGACUAGGAACCAGACGAUGUUAAUUUUUUAAUGACUCGUUUGGCACCUUACGGGAAACCAAAGUGUUUGGGUUC